UGAGGAAUAUUGGACAAUGGGCGCAAGCCUGAUCCAGCCAUGCCGCGUGCAGGAAGAAGCAUCUAUGGUGUGUAAACUGCUUUUGUACGGGAAGAAACACUCCUACGUGUAGGAGCUUGACGGUACCGUAAGAAUAAGGAUCGGCUAACUCCGUGCCAGCAGCCGCGGUAAUACGGAGGAUCCAAGCGUUAUCCGGAAUCAUUGGGUUUAAAGGGUCCGUAGGCGGUUUAAUAAGUCAGUGGUGAAAGCCCAUCGCUCAACGAUGGAACGGCCAUUGAUACUGCUAGACUUGAAUUACAAGGAAGUAACUAGAAUAUGUAGUGUAGCGGUGAAACGCUUAGAUAUUACAUGGAAUACCAAUUGCGAAGGCAGGUUACUACUUGUGGAUUGACGCUGAUGGACGAAAGCGUGGGGAGCGAACA
rnacentral:rRNA from 1 species